AAUAUGGCUUUGGGGAGCUGGGGGUGGCCGGCUGAGAGGGUACCGCAGGGUACCGACCCGUGAACCUGAUCUGGGUAAUGCCAGCGGAGGGAAAUACGGAUAAUUAUUG
rnacentral:ncRNA from 2 species